rnacentral:rRNA from 1 species
AUGCGGCUGGACAGGGCUACCAGCGCCAAGUGCUACAUGCUAUCGGCAAGGGCGCUCAAUAUUUCGAGGGGCGGGACCCGAGCAUGCUGGGAAUGGAUCGACCUCUGUUAUGAUGAGAUCCAAGGAAACAAGAGCUUCCGUGAAGCAGCUCAACUUCGGGGAGUUUGGUCGUUGGAAAUCCGUGGCAAAAUACAUAGCAGAAUGCUCUGCCGGAACUCCAUGUAUGCUGCUUACAUGCUGUUCAAGCUAGCCCAUGGGUUCACCAUGAUGGAUUUCCCGUUUCAAGAGGCAUCCAUCAGCUAUGGAGGCACUACUUCAAAACGGCAAGUUUGCCUCCAAGCCUACAUGGAGGAUGGGGAUGACGGCGUACCUCACAAACAUAUCUUGAAGUCAAGUUGGGAAAGCCGUCUGCCCCAUAGCUAUUCGCCCUGUUUGGUUCGGCUGUGGAUUUCUAAAAGCAGCUGUGAAAAAUCUGCUGUGGAAAAACAGCUGUGGAAAAUCUGA